AUAAUGGUCCUUUUUAGGACCAUUCCUAGAUUGUAUUUAUUAAUGG
rfam:Glossina pallidipes, whole genome shotgun sequence.